GAUGAACGCUGGCGGCGUGCCUAAUACAUGCAAGUCGAGCGAACAGAUGAGGAGCUUGCUCCUCUGACGUUAGCGGCGGACGGGUGAGUAACACGUGGAUAACCUACCUAUAAGACUGGGAUAACUUCGGGAAACCGGAGCUAAUACCGGAUAAUAUAUUGAACCGCAUGGUUCAAUAGUGAAAGACGGUUUUGCUGUCACUUAUAGAUGGAUCCGCGCCGCAUUAGCUAGUUGGUAAGGUAACGGCUUACCAAGGCAACGAUGCGUGGCCGACCUGAGAGGGUGAUCGGCCACACUGGAACUGAGACACGGUCCAGACUCCUACGGGAGGCAGCAGUAGGGAAUCUUACGCAAUGGGCGAAAGCCUGACGGAGCAACGCCGCGUGAGUGAUGAAGGUCUUCGGAUCGUAAAACUCUGUUAUUAGGGAAGAACAAAUGUGUAAGUAACUAUGCACGUCUUGACGGUACCUAAUCAGAAAGCCACGGCUAACUCCGUG
rnacentral:rRNA from 1 species